GAUGAACGCUGGCGGCGUGCCUAAUACAUGCAAGUCGAGCGAACAGAUGAGGAGCUUGCUCCUCUGACGUUAGCGGCGGACGGGUGAGUAACACGUGGAUAACCUACCUAUAAGACUGGGAUAACUUCGGGAAACGGGCGCUAAUACCGGAUAAUAUAUUGAACCGCAUGGUUCAAUAGUGAAAGACGGUUUUGCUGUCACUUAUAGAUGGAUCCGCGCCGCAUUAGCUAGUUGGUAAAGUAACGGCGUACCAAGGCAACGAUGCGUAGCCGACCUGAGAGGGUGGUCGGCCACACUGGAACUGAGACACGGUCCAUACUCCUACGGGAGGCAGCAGUAGGGAAUCGUACGCAAUGGGCGAAAGCCUGACGGAGCAACGCCGCGUGAGUGAUGACGGUCUUCGGAUCGUAAAACUCUGUUAUUAGUGAAGAACAAAUGUGUAAUUAACUAUGCACGUAUUGACGGUAACUAAUCAGAAAGCCACGGCUAACUACGUG
rnacentral:rRNA from 1 species